GCCUCGCCAAUCGCCUCCAUGUCUAUUCUCGUUUUCAACUCUGAACUUCCCUCCCUCUCUCUCUCUCUCUCUCUCUCUCUCUGUGCAACCGCAAACUACAAAAUCUACAAGAAUCACAAGUUCAAAACCCAUAUAUUUCAGUUUAUCUAUCUGUCUGCAAGAAUCAAAAGUUCAAAGCCUAUUACCUAUAUCAAAACCCAUAUCGGCAUAUCAUUUCAGAUUGUUCAAAAAAUCAAAACCCAGAUCUUUCAGUUUCGAUCGCCCGCUGUUCCAGUUCGGAUUCGCUGUUCGCAAGCUCCAGCGGCUGUCCCGCCGUCUCUCAACUCUCAAGCUUGCUCCCCUCUCUCUCUGCAACUGCUAACUUGGUUAGCAUCGGGCCUUAACAUUUAGCAAGAACAAGGUUCAAGAAACAUGCCUCCUCAGUCAUCAGGUCUCUUUUCUAGAAAGAAGAGAAUUGAUUGGAAUGGGUUGAGUAGGGAAAAAGAAAAGGAGUUGGGUGAUGGCUCAUAUUGUUUUUGAUGAACAUAGAGCUGUUUUUGGUUGCAACUGGGCUCUUGAUCAUUGAAGGGGAACAUUAGACCACCAGUCACUUGUGAAGAAAGAACCUUAAUUAGUUCGAUGACAUUGCACUUAUAGCAGUACCCAUAAAUUCUCCACUUAGGUACUAAGAGAAAUAAACCUUCAAUAACUAUAAUUCUCAUUUCCACUCAGAGAAAUCUAACCUGACAAGUCAAAAGUAUCCUAUUAUUUCCUUCAAAGAUGUCCAAGUACCAACAAUUGAUGUGAAGAUACCUAUUAAGAUGAUACCCAUUUUCUGGGUGCCUCCCUGCAGAUAAGCUUAAGCCUUCCUACUGAAAAGAUUAGUUCAAAAGUGACCAUCUAUAUUACCUUGAUCAAUCCGAUCUCAAAAUAUUCAUUGAUGGUUACACCGAUAGUGCACUUGAUUGAAGGUCUAUUUCACCAUUCUAACAAUAGGAGACUACUUAGCCUAUUGUUCAAGACCUGCUUGGUAAUCAGCACGAUUGUUGUAGCUGUGACUGUUCCCCUUUUUGGAUCUCUCAUGUCACUUGUUGGAGCUUUAGGUGCCAUCAUCUUAAUGGGUAUCUUCACGGCAAUUGUUGGUACUUGGACAUCUUUGAAGGAAAUAAUAAGAUACUUUUGACUUAUCAGGGUAACAUUUCUCUGAGUGGAAUUGAGAAUUGUAGUUAUUGAAGGUUUAUUUCUCUUAGUACCUAAGUGGAGAAUUUAUAGGUACUGCUAUAAGUGCAAUGAUAUAUGUUUAUGUUAGUUUUAUUGUUCAUUCUGUGUAUAUUAAACUCAUGUUUUUAUGUUUCAUCUAAAUGUCAAUAGAUAUAUGUCACUCUGUUAAGUGUUUGUGCAGUGUUACUUUUGGUGAAAAUUGAAAGUGUCUUUUAUCAAUUGGAACUGCAUUUUUUUUAUGGGUAGUGUCUUAAAAGAUUUAUCUUAUUCUGUGCUAUUGUUUUGAGGGGAAGUAAAAAAAAUUAUUUUUGCUGGAAAUGUGUUGUAAAUGGUUUAUAUCUGAUUGGAAAAAUGGGGUUUUAAUCAAGUAGAAUAUUAGGAAAAUGUGAUAUACCCGGUGUUUCAUUACACAACCGGUCCCAAGUCUAGAUAAAGGAGGAGGGUUGUGUUAGGCAGCAUAACAGUUAAAGUAAAACUUUGUCAUGAGUUAUGACUAAUAUGAACAUGAAUCGUAUGACUAGUGGGAAAAAGGCUUUGUUGUUGUUGUUGAUGUUGUUUUCUGUAGUUGUAGGUUCAGCCAAAUCUAAUGGUCAAAAUUCAAUAGACAUGAGAAGGAAAAAUUUUAUAAUAUUCCAAUUUUGCUAUCCAAACUCAAUUUGUUUAAUUGAGUUUAAAAUUGGUGAUUGGAUGAUGAUGCAUGCAGACUUAUAUGUUUUUUUUUUUUUUUUUUAACACCUUUUCUUCUGAUUAAACCAUUUGUGUUGGACAUUUGCUGCGUUAGGCCUUAUAGUAAAAUGGGUAACAGACUCAAUUUAUCUUUCAAGCGAGUGGCUAUUUGUUUCGGCUUGGUGGGUUGGGCACUCUGUUUUUUUUUUUUUUUACUUCGAGCUUGUAUUGGGCUUGCUCCAAAAUAUUUCUCCUUUGAGAUUGUUUGGGCUUGCCCCUUCGCUCUAAGGCCUACUAAUAAUGUACAUACUUUUUUUUCUUUUUUCUUUUUUUGGUAAGUACUAAUAAUGUACAUACUUUAUUCUAUAUUCAGUAUUGCUUAAACUUUUGGAAUAUAUAUAUAUAUAUAUAUAUAUAUAACACACACGUCUAUCCAGUGAAUGGGAUCCAAUGUUGAUCUCAUCACUCCAUACGAGGAAAAAAAACAACAGAAUAUCAGAAUUCAGACGACCAUUUUGGUAGCUGAAGCUCUAGCAAUCACUGUUGAGGGGUUUUGUAAGUGAUGAAUUGAAUCUGACACAGACAUGGUGAAAACUCUUGCAGAGUAGUUGAUAUCCAAGGACUGAAUCGGCAUUUCUCCUAGCAUCAGGUUUAAAUAUUUUGAAUCAGUUAAAUGUGUCUUGUUAUAACUUUUGUAAGAGAAAAUUAUACAUUUAAAGAAUUAUGGAUCAUAAUCUUAGAAAAUAUUUUUACAUUUUUCUUCUUCUCAAAAAUAAUAAUUCAAGAAGAAGGGUUCUUUACAGAAAAUCUAUAACAAAGUGUACAAAAAAAAAA